rnacentral:lncRNA from 1 species
UCAAGCUCCUGAAUCGAUUCCACCUUCGUUUACAACUGUGAAGAGAUUCACAAAUAUGGAAGAUUUUACUAAAUUUGACUCUACAAACCAAAACCAAGUGCACGGUGCAUCACAAAAAGCACCAUCCGUCAUAUCCGAGAGGCCAAACAUGAACUCAAGCAGAUUAACAAGACACAAAAUAGUAAAUGCAACCACAGUCAACAAAAGCAUGUCACAUUUUAGAGUUCCCCCAACACAUCAGACUCCUAACAGCUACAUAUCCACAAUAAAGACCUUCAUUACAACAACUAUGUUUUUAAAACCCCAGGUGUCGUUUGCCAAUAUCUCCCUGUUCUCUCGUGCAGUUCCACAAAAGAAGUCCUGGCUGCUGCCAACAACUUUCAGUAAGUCACAAAAUACAGUGACAACAGAUGCCAGAGUUCUUUCAAAACUUUUGUCUAUCUCUAAGAAAAGUAUUAGUGAGAACGCCUUUUUAAAUCACUCGAUGACAACUGGAAAGAUUGGUUUGCCAUUAGACGACAAACAACAAUUUCUUAAAAACCCAAGAGGGACUGUGGCGCUUUUUUUCGGCAGCUACACAGUUAGCAGUAUCCCAUCAGUCCAGCGGCUCGUUGAAGCUCACCCUGGAGAGGAAUUCCUCACAGAAACACCACAAUCACAAUCUGGACUUCAGAUUGAGUCAUACUUAAAGAAGAGAGAUGGCACGGUUAAACCAACAACUCUGAAACACCAUGAUCAGAGCAGUCAUUCAGUUGUAGGCGUGAAUCAAACCUCGUUCAUGUCAAUUUCGCUCAAGAUUGUUUCAAGCCCAAUUCACACUACUGUUUCCCCUGUUGCUCUCUUAAAUACAGAGUCUAAAAGACAUUUGACCUUCUCUGCUUCACCGUCAGUAUCUAUUGAGCGAACAAUGACAAAGAUAAUUGGACUUGACAACCACAAAGAUUCACUUCAUAUGUUUGUAAAUUUAUCAGAUGUUAAAUUGCAUCCUCGGAACAUGACAUCCAGCCCGAUUUCUGGCAUCAGCAGGCACACAACAGCUGCAGCACGACCAGAAGAGGCCUUAAACACAUCACCCCUUGAAUCAUUCACUGGAACAACUUCACCAACUUUCCCUUUGCAUCUUAUUCAAAUGCAGAAUGUGUUGCAUAAAGAGCAUGUGACCUUAACUGAAAACCAGACUGAAUUUUUCUCAACAGUAAAUGAGCAUUCACGAACGACACAAUCAAACUUUCAUUCUGACGAAAUGUCCAGUUCAGGCGCAACAGAAGAUGUACAAAAACACCUUGGGCGGAC